UACAGGACUUAGAGUAGCAGGAGUGUC
rnacentral:sRNA from 1 species